ACUCAAAUGAAUAGACGGGGACCCGCACAAGCGGUGGAGCGUGUUGUUUAAUUCGAUGGUAAGCGAAGAACCUUACCCAGGCUUGACAUCCUUGGAAUUUCUGCGAAAGCAGAGAGUGCUUUAUUGAGCCAAGUGACAGGUGAUGCAUGGCCGUCGUCAGCUCGUGUCGUGAGAUGUUUGGUUAAGUCCAUCAACGAGCGCAACCCUUGUGAUUAGUUGAAUUUUUCUAAUCAGACUGCCCUGGUAACAGGGAGGAAGGGGGGGAUGAUGUCAGGUCAGUAUUUCCCUUACGUCUGGGGCUACAAACACGCUACAAUGGCCGGUACAAAGGGCAGCCAAGCAGCAAUGCGGAGCAAAUCCCAUCAAAGCCGGUCUCAGUUCGGAUAGCAGGCUGAAACUCGCCUGCUUGAAGCUGGAAUCGCUAGUAACGGUAAGUCAGCUAUAUUACCGUGAAUACGUUCCCGGGUCUUGCACACACCGCCCGU
rnacentral:rRNA from 1 species